UUAAAUUGAAGAGUUUGAUCAUGGCUCAGAUUGAACGCUGGCGGCAGGCCUAACACAUGCAAGUCGAGCGGAAACGAGUUAUCUGAACCUUCGGGGGACGAUAACGGCGUCGAGCGGCGGACGGGUGAGUAAUGCCUAGGA
rnacentral:rRNA from 1 species